ACCACCGUAGGGUAUCUGGCUUCGAACCAGGUGGUCGGCGGUUCGAAUCCGUCCGGGCGUGCCA
rnacentral:tRNA from 1 species